GGUACGGUGGGCGGCUCCUUCUCUGUGCAAUCUGAACCUGACUGCUUGCUUCGCACUUCCAUGGACAAUCUGCUGCGGUUGCAGCCUGCAUUUGAGGAGAGGAGGUCCGGAGGAGGUAACGUAUUUAUAUUUAUUCAUGAUGAUGACAAUCUGUACAAACUCCUUUGUCGUAGUUUGACCGAGGGCAGCGAACGAGUUAUCUUGAUAGUUUCUAAGUUCUAUCAUUGACGUUGAAGCUAUAGCCAACAAUAGCUUCUCGAAGCCAAGUAGGCCUAGCUGCCACAGUCAAGUUGGAUCUGCCCGCUGUUAGCGAUAGCAUUACAUAAUUGUAUCAUCUUAGAUGCAGUUAGAGUUUAGAUGAGGUAACAUUAAUGCUAUGCUACCCUCGGCCAGUCUUCCCAUGUGGUGACAUUUUAUUUUACCAUAGUUAAGCUUAUCUAAGCUUGUUAUUGAUGGGCUAGUGUAACACAAUUCCAAGUGUGUAGGCCUAGUGGUUAUAUUUCUGACACUGAUGCAAUCCAUUUUAUUAUCCUUCUCCAGACCAGACCUGCUGCAAGUGCCUUUGCGUGGACUGAAAAAAGGUGGUUGCAUAUGCAUUACGUUGUGAAAAUACCGAAAACACAAAACUGGGGGGUGUGUGUAAAUUAUGCCACGCUGGACAACUACUAAAUACAAACAAACCUUCUCCUUGUGGACAUAGCAGAUAGACACACUGUUGAGUCUUGACUGCUCCAUCGUGGAGCGGAGCCAAUUCUUCAAACGACGCAGGGCACUGAAGCUCCGCUUCACAAGAAGAGACUGGGACCACAAGCAACAGCCUAACAAGAGCCUCCACCUGGGUGUUGCUCCAACAUGGCCAAACGGCCAAGGCCCUCUUGGUUGAACCUCUCAUCCAGCUGCAUGCUUGCUGUAUCGAUGGCAGAGAAAAAUUGCACCCUGAAAAAUUCCUCUGCCGAA